GCCUCCGUAGCUCAGGGGAUAGAGCGCCGGUUUCCGGUACCGAAGGUCGGGGGUUCGAAUCCCUCCGGGGGCACCC
rnacentral:tRNA from 1 species